GCCAGAGCUAUAGAGAGUUGCGACACGCUAUGAUCUCGCCGACAGGGUGGUCACGUGGUUGUCACGUGGUUCAUGUAAGCCUCAAUAGUUCCAAACACGCCGCGCAGUCAAUGUUAUUCUAUGGGACGACAGCAGAGAUUUCAAUAUUGAAUGAUCAAUGGUCAUACCAUGGUUGGCUGUGCAGCGUUUGGAUGCUCCAAUCGGUCCGAGAAGGGUUACCACAUGUAUGGCUUCCCCAAGGACCAAGAGCGCAGGAAGAAAUGGAUGGCAAUGAAAUUGAGGUGGAUUUCAAGAGCGAUGAAAAGGACAUGACAGGAGACAGCGAGAGCAAUCAAGUGGGCCACUUUGCCAGGGGCAGGUGAUCCAGGGGCAGGUGAUCCAGGGGCAGCUGCUACAGGGGCAGCUGCUCCAGGGACCAGACUGCCAAGGACUGAUGGGGCGACUAUGGAGGACCUAAUAAGGCAACUAGAAAAGGAAAAAUUAAUGAGAAGGAGAGCAGAGAGGGCUCUUG
ensembl:lncRNA